UUCCGGUUGAUUCUGCCGGCGGCUACCGCUAUUGGAGUUCGAUAAAGCCAUGCGAGUCGCGAGUCUUAGGGACUCGGCGUACCGCUCAGUAACACGUGGGUAACCUGCCCUAUGCUGGGGGAUAACCUCGGGAAACUGAGAAUAAUACCCCAUAGUUCACCAUGCCUGGAACGGUGGGUGGACCAAAGCUCCGGCGGCAUAGGAUGGGCCUGCGGCGUAUCAGGUUGUAGGGGGUGUAAUGUACCCUCUAGCCCUCUACGCGUACGGGUGUUGAGAGACAUCGCCCGGAGAUGGAUUCUGAGACACGAAUCCAGACCCUACGGGGUGCAGCAGGCGCGAAAACUUGGCAAUGCGAGAAAUCGUGACCAGGGAACUCCAAGUGCAUCGGGUAAGACCGAUGCUUUUCUUGACUCUUCAAAGGUCUUGGAAUAAGGGGUGGGUAAGGACGGUGCCAGCCGCCGCGGUAAUACCGGCGCCCCAAGUGGUAGUCGCUUUUAUUGGGCCUAAAACGUCCGUAGCCGGUCUGGUACAUUCGUGGGUAAAUCAACCAGCUCAACUGGUUGAAUUCUGCGAGCACGGCCAGACUUGGGACCGGGAGAGGUGUGGGGUACUCUCAGGGUAGGGGUAAAAUCCUGUCAUCCUGAGAGGACCACCUGUUGCGAAGGCGCCACACUAGAACGGAUCCGACGGUCAGGGACGAAGCCUAGGGGCACGAACCGGAUUAGAUACCCGGGUAGUCCUAGGUGUAAACGCUGUGGACUUGAUGUUGGGGGCGCUCCGAGCGCACUCAGUGUCGAAGCGAANGUGAUAAGUCCACUGCCUGGGGAGUACGGUCGCAAGGCUGAAACUUAAAGGAAUUGGCGGGGGAGCACCGCAACCUGAGGAUUGUGCGGUUUAAUUGGAUUCAAC
rnacentral:rRNA from 1 species